rnacentral:lncRNA from 1 species
AAGAAAAAUAAAUCAAAUAUCAAAAGUAAAAUACACAAACACCAAUAUAAACAUAAACAAAAAACAAAAAUAAAGGGAUUAGCAAAGUUGCUAAUCCCCGGCAACGGCGCCAAAAUUUGAUGCGUAAAAUAACUAAACACACAAAUUUAACCCUCUUUUUGACAAUUGUAGUAUAGAUGUAAGUAGGGUAUCGUUCUAGGCCGGGGAUUAGG